rnacentral:rRNA from 1 species
UCCGGAGGGGGCUAGCGUUGUUCGGAAUUACUGGGCGUAAAGCGUGCGCAGGCGGUUGUGCAAGACAGAUGUGAAAUCCCCGGGCUUAACCUGGGAACUGCAUUUGUGACUGCACGGCUAGAGUGUGUCAGAGGGGGGUAGAAUUCCACGUGUAGCAGUGAAAUGCGUAGAGAUGUGGAGGAAUACCGAUGGCGAAGGCAGCCCCCUGGGAUAACACUGACGCUCAUGCACGAAAGCGUGGGGAGCAAACAGG